rnacentral:lncRNA from 1 species
CCGUGUUGAUCAUUUUUUCAUACUCGCGACGAUUUUAAAAGUUUUUCAUCUAAAAUUCAUUCACUAUAGUAGUUGAACUUCAUGUUGUUUUCACGUUGAACUUCUGUGACGUAUAUUCGUUUGUAAUUUUCUCAUCCAUUCGUUAGUGUUACACAAAUGAUAUUUCUUUUGUACAAACCACUCUCACAAUAAUUUUUUAACUUUCUCCGACGGAGGACUUGAACUUAUAAAAACAACAAAAUUAGGCCUUUGCUUUUUUAUUCCUUUUUAAUACAAAUGUACACCGUGUAGUACGUGAACUUCUGACAGUUAUCAAUCUGAACUUCUCUUGGUUACGUGCAAAUAUCUGAGUUUUUCUAUGAAUUGUUAAUCUGAUUUUCUUAAUCUUUUUUUAUGAAUUUUGAAGCGCUCUAUUUUUUAAAGUUGAACUUCUUGUUUUUUUUGAACUUUUUGUUUCCAUUCUUUAAUAACGAGGAAAAUCUGAGUUGUCUAUAAUCAUCGAACUUCUCCAUCUUUUUAAUAUGGACUUACUGUUUUAUUCCUUAAUCUUUUUAUGAAAUUUUGAAGCGCUCUUAUUUUUAAAAGUUGAACUUCUUGUUUUUUAUUUUUUGAACUUCUUGUUUCCAUUCCUUAAUAACGAGGAAAAUCUGAGUUUUCAAUAAUCAUCGAACUUCUCCAUCUUUUUAAUGUGGACUUCCUGGUUUUUUUUCUUAAUCUUUUUUAUGAAAUUUUGAAGCGCUCUAUUUUUUGAACUUCUUGUUUUCCAUUCUUUAAUAACGAGGGAAAUCUGAGUUUUCUAUAAUCAUCGAACUUCUCCAUCUUUCUCAUUUGGACUUCCUGGUUUUAUUUCUUUUAGUAACGGAAAAAUCCUACUUUUUGAUAGACAUCGAGCCCCUUCGAUAAAUUUGAACUUCUAGGUUUAUUUUAAUAGAACUUCUUCAUUAUUUCAAAUAGAACUUAUUUGUCUUAUUCUUUAGUAACCGAAAAAAUUGAGUUUUCAAAUAAAUAUCAAACUACUCUGCUUUUAAAAAUUGAAAUUCUUGGUAUUAUUAUUUAGUAACAAGAAAAAACUGAGUUUUUAAUAUGCAUUGAACUACUUCAUUUUUUAAAAUUGAACUUCUUGGUUUUUAUCUUUAGUUGUGGGGAAAAUGCCCAAAAUGACAUUGUUUUUUGUUUUUGUUUUUUAUCUUCUAAAUCCUAGGUUUUAAUAUAAUUUGAACUUCUGUGUUCUUUUAAUCUGAACUUCAUAUUUUUUAUUUUUUGAGUAAAGUUUCUGUUUUUGAUUUUUAAAUAAACAUGAUUUUGACUUUUUUAUUUUUGAUCUUCAUGGUCAAUUCUUUAAUUCCUUUUUUUAAUUUCAACUUCUUCAUUUUAUUAUUUAGUAACGAGAAAACAUCUAAGUUUUUUUAACCUUCAAACUUCUCUCUUAUUUUACUUUGAACUUCUUAGAGAAAAAUAUGGUUUUAAAUAAGCAAACAGUUUUCUAGGUUUUUACCUUUGAACUUCUAGGUUUUUUGACCUUCUCGGUUAUUUCAAAUUGAACUUCUAGGGUUUUCAAAUUUGAACUUCUAUGCUUUUUGACCUUCUCGGUUCUUUCAAUUUUUCUAGUUUUCUUUAAAUCCAUUUUUAUAAACUUUUUUUGAGUUGGUCUGUUAUUUUGAGUUGGCCUUCUCUCUUAUUUUUUUAGAAACAUGGAAAAUAUAACUUUUAAAAACUUUGGUUAUUUUCUAGAAACAAGAAAAUUUCAAAAUUUUAAUGUGCAUGCUCUGUUAUUUUAUUUUCUUGAAAUAGGGAAAAUCUAUUUCUUUAUAUGUGUUGUCCCUUUUCAUUUGAUGAAUUUCUUCUGUAUUUGGCACAUGUGAACUUCGAAACUUCUGAAACAUGAACAUGUGGAGAAAAAGUUCAUUUCUGUCCCUGCAUGAUUUAUGUUUCAAGUUGACAUCUGAAAAAUCCCUCAGGCAGUACGAUAGUUGUACUUGUACCGAUUUUGGCGACACCAGGCUUAAUUUUUACUUAAAUUUUGCGCUGCUUUGUUAUUUUAGUUUGAAGUUCUGCGUUUUAACAACAACAGAGUGCUUAUACGUUUAUAAAAGAAAGGAUUUUUCUAUUUUCUAAAAAGAAUGAAAACUAAGCACACGCUCACCUCCAUGCACAUGGCCAAUUAAUUUUAUUCUCUAGACACAAGUAAUUUUUUCUUUGACCAGCCUCAAGCAUUUUGUUUGCCCUACCAGAAGUAACUUGCUCGGCCUGACAUUGGUUGCCUACAACCACGAGUUAUUUUCGUCAUAUCUGAACUUCGAAAAAUGAAAAAACAGAUGACUGUAUCUCACAUACUGUCAAAACAAAACAAAAAAGAUGAAUGUGUCUCACGGAGAGCACAACUGAGCAUUGCGGCCAGUGCAUAACACACAUCGCACGCGCACUAAGAGGAGGGCCGCCGGCUUGAGCGUGAGAUGCAUCAGAACAUGGAUUGCCGGAGUUCUCGCCGUAGGUCUCCAAGCACGCAUCCGUCUCAUCACCCUUUUUUCUUCUUCCCCUCAGAAUCCCCUCAGAGAGGAUGCAGUUGCACGAACAGAAUGUAUGAACUUCCAUGGACCACACCCUAUGAACAUGUUGAGCAAUUUAUUUUUCAAACACAACACGAUUAUUCUUGAUCAGUAUGUAUGAACUUCUAGGAACCUCAUUUUGAAGCGCUACACAAUUUUUUCCACGAACAUAAUGUAUGAACUUCCAGGAACCAGAAAGACUUUUCUGAACUUUUCUAAGUUACAAUAUUUUGAAUUUCACAAUCUUGAGAACAUGAACUUCAGAACGCACGCUAUAACUGAAAUCAAUCAAAAUACAGUGAUUUUCAUCAAAACAUAGAAUAGUACCAGCACUCUACACACAAUGAAGAAAGGAAGAGGAGAAUUUUUAUUCACGAUUGUGCUCGGCACUGCACGGGAGGAGGAGUCACGACACAACAUGAGAGGUAGGUCGCCGGCUGCUGUGAAGCAAAAGGGGGAGGAGGAGGAGGCACCUUCGAGAUCCAACGAUGGCGGUGGAUGGUACUUGGAGCCCAGGACCGCGUAGAGCUCGGGACGGGGAGCCUCCGCAUGGCGCUGGAUGAGCGGCGGCGGAUGAGAUCCAGGGACAGGCGACGGCGCUUGGGAUCCAGGACCCUACGGCGGCGCCAGGGAUCCAUGGCCCGGCGACAGCACACGGGGAUCCCGGGGCCCUGCGGCAGCUGGAUCAGAGGGUGGUGCCUGGAGGAGGCUCGUCGGCCAUGGUGGAGGAGGGUCCGCGCCGGCCGUUGGGAAGGAGGGAGGUGGCCGUGAGGGAGGUGACCGGCGGCGCGCAGGGUUGCUAGGUCGUGGCGGCCCCGGUUGGGGCAGCGCGGGUGUGGUGGGG